ACCAUGUUGAUCCCUGAAAGAUAAAGGAGGCCAGAGAAAGUGAGACCAAAGUGCCCAGAAAGCCCUUGAUCUUCUGUUUUCUUUUUGUUGUUGUAUAUUCUGAGGUGGGGAAGAAAACCCCGUCUCACUGCGCAGCCAGUGGCACUCUGCUUGCUUCUGCAGAAGUUCAAGCUCAGGCACGAGAAGACUGACUCAAGCUGCUUUCCCAGACUUCAAAAAAAUCAGAGGAUUUCAUCGUCCCAGGGAGAAACCACACACAGUGAGAACUCGUUUCUGAUUCUCCGUUCCCAGCCCUGCCAGCUUCUCACCCAUGUCUGGAUUUUGUGGAUUGGUCUCUUCUGAACAUUUUGUACAAAUGGAUUCAUAUGUUUUUGGCAGACACAACAUCUUUGUUUGUAUGUGGUGCUGAGGAUUGAACCCGGGCCGCACGCAUGCCAGGCGACUGCGCUACCGCUUGAGCCACAUCCCAGCCCUAAUAUGUUACUUAAUAAUGAGCUGUACAUCACUGUCUUCUGCAUGGUGCCAGUGUCACAGUUUACUCCUUGCCUACUUUGCUUAAGGAACUAUAUUUUCAAGCUCACCAAGAGAAGUUCAACUGAAGGUGAUUGCUCCAAAACUACCUGGUUGACACCAACAACCAGGCUCCAAUGAGGAACAGCCAGAGCUGGUACUUAUGUUACAUCCCUGGACAUCUACUCAUAUAUCAUACACAGAGGGAAGUCCCAGAACAAAAGAGAGAACACACACAAAAGUAAAAGCAUAUAUAAGAUGAAGAGACUCCAUUUUAAUGAUUGCACAAGUCCAAGACCUCUGAAAACAUGGAAACAGGAAAACAAAUCUUUCCCCCAAAUUCACAAUCCCCCAACAAAGGAUCUCACAGAUAUUGGAAGUGGAUGAAAUUCCAGAAAAAGGUAAUUUUAAAAACUGAUUAUUGAAAUGCUUAAUGAACUAAAAGAAGAUCUAAGUAAUUAAGGAAGAGAGAAAAUAAAGGAGAUGAAAGAACAUUUCAAUAAAUAGAGAUACUGAAAAGAAAUCAAUCAAAAUUCCUAGAAAUGAAAGAUAUAAUACUGCUGAGAGCCACAGCCAAGUCAGAAUGAUGCAUGGCAUUUGUACCAGAAGGGAGUGGUUGAGAGGUGAUGCCAGCGUGCCAUUGAGAUGAUGAUGGUUAUGUUAAGCUGUGUAUUCAAUUGUAUAUUAGACCCCUGCUGUCCCCCUGGGCCUGCUACUUUGGAGUUCUUGAGCUACUUUGGAGUUCUUGGGAGAUUCCUGGAGAGUUUGCAUUGGUUGGGGAGGUGCUGGAGGAGGGAUUUCUGGUGUGUGGUGUUCCUGAAAGGGCCACGUGGGUGGCGUUCCCGGGAGUUCGGAUAAUAAAGGGGUUCCUAUUUUGAACCCACAAGUGCCUCAUGGCGGCUCAGUUAUUUUGUGCCCAGCCAGACUGCGGCAUUUGGUGGCCCGUGUGGGGGACGCCUGAAGCUUGGGGGUAAGUAAAAUUGCUUGCCCCUGAGGAAAGGCGAGAGAAUAGGUGACCAUUUCAAAAAAAAAUGUGUUCUUGUUUUGAUUUGUUUUGUAUUUGUUUCAAGCUGCCUGUCCCUAGAACUUUCUCAAGCAAACUGGGAAAAAUGGUUGGCUCAAGGUUUGAAGUGGUUCGCCCCUGAGGAAGAGAUAGAGAUAGACCAUGAAUAUACAUUUCAAGAAAAUAGGAAAAUUGAAACAAUGAUUUUUUGUUCAUUUUUGUUUCACUGUGUUUCGGUUUUGUUUUGUGUUAUCUUGUUGGGUUGCGUUAUCCUUGUAGCACAAAUAUGGGAUUAGAAAUUAGUAAAAAACAAACCGAAAGAGUGUUAAGUAAAAUGCUAGAGGAAGGAGGCAUCCCCAGUAAAACCAAGAGCAGUCAGGGCAUACGUUGAUACAAUACAAAAAUGUAGCCCAUGGCUUUUUAAGGAGGAGUUGUUGAAUAUUCCACGAGGAGGAAAUGAAGAACAACAAUGAAAAUCUACAAAGAGAAGAACUACAAUAAAGGAAAAACCAACCAAAGGAGAAACCAAGUCAAACUAAAUACCAAAAUCCCCAAAAUGACUGGUAAUACAAUUCGUGUCUCUUUUAACCCUUUUUGAUAAAUUUUUACACAUAAAAAUUUUAACUAUAAUAUUAUUUAAUUUUUCAGGUUUUUGUUUAUUUUGUACUUAUUGUUUUCCAUUUCUCUUCACAAAGGUAUACAAAUAUUUUCUUUAAAAGUUUUUGCAUUUUAUACAUUAUAUUUUAAUAUAUAAUUAAUCUGGUAUGUGUAUAUAUAGUGCCUGUGCUAUGAGCUAAGGUAUAUUUUAGUCUCCUAUAAUUAAAAAUCCAUUAUUCAAGAUUCAAGGAUGAAAAAGAUCAAUCAGAGUAAAAAUUUUUAAUAAGGUAUUUAAAAAGGUAAGGGCAAGGUUGAGGGAAACUAACAAAUUUUGUGAAGCACCUUUUCUUCCGAAACUUGGAGAGGUAGGAGGUGAAAGAAGAAAGAGCCACUAUGAAAACCUUGUAGGAGAAGUCGACCUAACUGAAGUUAUUUCCACCAAAAGCAUGAAGAAACCCACACUCAGUCUAAUAGAGUCUUAUAAGGAGAAAUAAAACACUUUGCUCUACUCUUGUAUAUUCUGAA